UAUUACCAUCAGAGCCCAAGAGGAGAAUUCUGACAUCUCAGCUAUGCUUGUUGGGAUGGAUGGUCCCCGACUCUCUAUUCACCCAAGUACCAAAACACUGCUGCUUCUGAAGAGUGUCACAGAACUGCACACAAUCCUGGAGAUUCGAGGCACCCCAAUCAUCAAUUCCCUCAUACGUGUCAGAUCUCUUUGCUUCUGUGGAUUAGACGUCGAAGUGGUCAAGAAAUAA
rnacentral:lncRNA from 1 species